AAUCAAAGGUACCAAGAUAGAUUAUCAUUGUAUUGCAUUUCAUCUGAAACAAAGGUGGUUUCGACAUUUUAGCAAGGAAAUGGAGUGAAAGAUACCCAUAUUUGAUAGCUCAAAUAAGCACUUUUGGGUAUCUAACAACUCUCCCCAACUAGAUUCUUGCUUGUCCUCAAGCAAAGUAUGCCUCUUGAAGGACAAGAGGAUUUGCUUUAAGAAAAUGGUUUCUCCGAAGUUGGAUAAAACGGCUCAAACACAAGCGAAUCAGCAUAUACAAGUUUCCAACGGUUCGAAUAAAAUAAUACACAAGAACUAAAACUUAAUAGCAAUGCGAAAUAUUUAUCUAUCUACAACAAUA
rnacentral:lncRNA from 1 species